GUGAACGCUGGCGGUAGGCCUAACCCAUGCAAGUCGAACGGCAGCACAGUAAGAGCUUGCUCUUACGGGUGGCGAGUGGCGGACGGGUGAGGAAUACAUCGGAAUCUACUUUUUCGUGGGGGAUAACGUAGGGAAACUUACGCUAAUACCGCAUACGACCUACGGGUGAAAGCAGGGGAUCUUCGGACCUUGCGCGAUUGAAUGAGCCGAUGUCGGAUUAGCUAGUUGGCGGGGUAAAGGCCCACCAAGGCGACGAUCCGUAGCUGGUCUGAGAGGAUGAUCAGCCACACUGGAACUGAGACACGGUCCAGACGCCUACGGGAGGCAGCAGUGGGGAAUAUUGGACAAUGGGCGCAAGCCUGAUCCAGCCAUACCGCGUGGGUGAAGAAGGCCUUCGGGUUGUAAAGCCCUUUUGUUGGGAAAGAAAAGCAGCAGGUUAAUACCCCGCUGUUCUGACGGUACCCAAAGAAUAAGCACCGGCUAACUUCGU
rnacentral:rRNA from 1 species